UGCUCAAAAUUCGGUUUGCUAUAUAUGUACAGAGAAAGUUCCAGAUCACAGUUCCGGAGACCUUGCUUGUGAUUCGUAUGAUCUUUACAAGGAGGAUGUCAAAUUACUGAAAAGAAUGAAGGCUCAAGCCUACCGGCUCUCAAUAGCAUGGUCUAGGGUCUUACCAAAGGGAAGAUUGAUAGGAGGGAUAGACGAAAACGGGAUCAAAUACUACAAUAACCUCAUCAAUGAGUUAAAAGCAAAUGGCAUAGAACCGUACGUAACAAUCUUUCACUGGGAUGU